GAGGACCAAAAGAGAAUGAAAGAAGACUAAUGGAGUAUGUGGUUGAGAUCUGUAAAAUUUAUGGAAUUCAUUUGUGAAUCUAAAUUUAUAUACAUUAAAUAGAGUAAAAGUUAUUCUAGUAUUUCAUAUAAUCAAAUUUGUGUGGAAUUGGUUAUAGUUAAACCAAAUUCUAAUAAAAUAAGUAGAAUUUUCAAAUGAAUUCCACGUUAAUAAGUCAAUAUAUUCUAUAACACCAAAAUAUUUCUUUCAACUUUAUUAAUUCCAUUUUAUUUUUUUCUAUGUCUUUUUUUAAAUGACAUGAAUUUUUUUAUUGAUUUCAGCUAAACAUAGCAUAAGAAAACCAUAUUUGAUUUGGCAGCAACUGUUAUUUUUGGCUCAUUUAUCCCACGUUGAAAAGCUAAGAAAGAGAAGAAGUAGUUUCAAGACUGUAUAUAGUAAGCCUUCUCUCCUUUUCUAAGUGUUAAAGAAAAACAAUGCACCUUGUAUUUCUCUUCUUGUUAAUAUUUCUUUGUAAUUCUAUUAAAUUAAGAAAUAUUAUUUUGGUAGUGUAGGAAGUAAGCAUAAUUUUUGCCUAAUUUUGUUAAAAUUAUGGUGUUUCUUUUCUUAUUGUAUAUUUAAUAGCUUAUUUGUUAGUGGAAACUAACCCAAUUUCCACAACAGCAACAAUUAACUGGUUUGAUCAGAUUAUAUUUUAAAGAAUUCAUAUGCUUAGCGGUGUAGGACCAAAAUAAUGGAUUCACAUAUCAUCAGAUAAUAAACGACCAUCAUUUAUAUAAGAGUAACCAUAUCAAUAGCAUGUCAUGACCAAGUCCAGUAUCAAUACACUGUGCAUUAUUUCAUGGUUUGCAAGAUCUAAACGCAACAGCACCUAACAUUAUAGAAUAGCGUAACCUCAUGGACACCAGAAAGGCUUUGACAUAAAUGUUUAUCCACAUGAACCAGUUGAUUGAUGCCACAAGGCAUAUAACUACAUUGAGAUUGAAACUGGGAAGACAUUUGAAAAAAGAGUUAUUUAUAUUUUAGAAAAAUAAUAAUAAGGAAUGGCUG
rnacentral:lncRNA from 1 species